rnacentral:rRNA from 1 species
ACGUAGGGUGCAAGCGUUGUCCGGAAUUAUUGGGCGUAAAGAGCUCGUAGGCGGUUUGUCACGUCGGAUGUGAAAACUCGGGGCUCAACUCCGAGCCUGCAUACGAUACGGGCAGACUUGAGUUCGGCAGGGGAGACUGGAAUUCCUGGUGUAGCGGUGAAAUGCGCAGAUAUCAGGAGGAACACCGGUGGCGAAGGCGGGUCUCUGGGCCGAUACUGACGCUGAGGAGCGAAAGCGUGGGGAGCGAACAGGAUUAGAUACCCUGGUAGUCCACGCCGUAAACGGUGGGUGCUAGGUGUGGGGAACAUUCCACGUUCUCCGUGCCGCAGCUAACGCAUUAAGCACCCCGCCUGGGGAGUACGGCCGCAAGGCUA